rnacentral:lncRNA from 1 species
GGAUAACACGCGUUUAUGGAGUGGUUGUGCAAACCGAGGGCACCUUGUGCGCUGGGCCCAGAGCUGACGGCGAAGUCUACUGGGGAAAACUGAGAGAUGGCUCCCGUGAUCCUCGCGGCAAGAGAUGAAGGUGGCUGUGAUGGCAGAGAUGGAGAGAAGUGGAAGAGUUCACAGAGAUUCACUGACCUUGAUGACAGGCAAAGUGAGGCCAAGGGAAGAAUAUUCUUUCCAUAAUGUAACCAAAGAGCAGUCAACAAAGACAGGAGCAAGGCCUUGGUCUCCGGUGAGUAUGAACAGGCUGACCACGGGUGGGAAACACACCUACAAGGUAUCCAUCACAGCUGACAGAAGAAUGGAACCAUGUGAUACCUGGAGCCCAUCAUGUGGGAAGACUAACAUCCCUGGAACACUCCCUCACUGCCCAUUUUUCCUAUAUAGCUACCUCAAGAGUCUGUAAUUUUUUUGUGUGUGUGUGAGGAAGAUUGGCCCUGAGCUAACAUCGGUGCCAAUCUUCCUCUAUUUUGUAUGUGGGAUGCUGCCACAG